rnacentral:rRNA from 1 species
GAUGAACGCUGGCGGCGUGCUUAACACAUGCAAGUCGAACGAUGAAGCCCAGCUUGCUGGGUGGAUUAGUGGCGAACGGGUGAGUAACACGUGAGUAACCUGCCCUUGACUCUAGGAUAAGCCCGGGAAACUGGGUCUAAUACUGGAUAGGAACGUCUACCGCAUGGUGGGUGUUGGAAAGAAUUUCGGUCAUGGAUCGACUCGCGGCCUAUCAGCUUGUUGGUGAGGUAAUGGCUCACCAAGGCGACGACGGGUAGCCGGCCUGAGAGGGUGACCGGCCACACUGGGACUGAGACACGGCCCAGACUCCUACGGGAGGCAGCAGUGGGGAAUAUUGCACAAUGGGCGAAAGCCUGAUGCAGCGACGCCGCGUGAGGGAUGACGGCCUUCGGGUUGUAAACCUCUUUCAGUAGGGAAGAAGCGAAAGUGACGGUACCUGCAGAAGAAGCACCGGCUAACUACGUG